CAUUGUUUUGAUUUAGUUUGUACUAUACAGAUUAAAAAAAUAAGGACAAUUUUUACAAAAUUAACAAUGACUAAUACGCAACGCAACCACAAACUUCAACACCACAACAAUCCAAGUACAACGAAAAUGUCAGACCACAAAUGUCAUCAGAACCUGCAGUGGUUUUUUAUUUACUCAACAGAGUUCGUAGUUCCUAACUAACAGAAAGACUUUGGGGGAAAAAAGGCGCUCCAGAUUGCCAAUCGUAAAGCGCUUAUCUAUGGUCAUCUAUGGUAAAGCGCAAAAUGGAUGGAAAAUACGAAAUGAGUGUGGUCGUUAGAAAAAAUCAAAAUGUAAUUUAUGAUAAUCAAAGAAAUGUUGAGGUAGAUGCAUCUGUAAAACAGCUAAUGCAGGAUAUCAAAAUCCUCCAGGAAGAUGUAAAUAAUUAUUUAACAGAACUGGUUGAAAAGGACAAGAAAGAAAGUAGCACCCCAGAGAGUCCCUUUACUUCAACAGAUGAUGAGGACGAUAAUGACUCUGAAGAUAUUAUAAAUUUAAAAAGAAAAAUUGUGUUACCCUCAAAAGAAAAUAAAAAGAAUAAACAAUAAUUAUAAAUGUUACAUCCUCUAAAGAACUUUGCCAACAGUAUGACUUUCAUAUUGUUCAGGGACUGGUUGGAAAUUAAACUACAUGUGAUGUAAGUAUUAAAAUUACAUAUCUAAAUCAGUAACAUAUGUGUUUAAAUUUAC